AUCUCAUCAUUCUUGUGGGAGAGACACAACACCGGCGCUAAGAAAGGCAACAGAUUGCUUCUGUCAUAUCGCUUUGCUGUUUUGGAGUGUACUUAAAGGAUUAUGAUUGAUAAGGCUGUCUUGCCAGAGAAUGUUGACACAGCUCAUGAUUUCCUGGAAGCUGGCUGUCCAUCAGUGGUGUAUAUAAGAUGUGUUAUAAGUAUGAUGCUUCCAUACUACAUUUGGAUGUUUUCAGCUAAGCUCACUUCUGAAUUACAGGGUUCCUCCAAAUGUUGGCUGAAAUCUGUCCUUGCAUACCCCCAAGCUCAUCUGCAAAAUCUGCAGUUCAUAAUGGAGCUCCUGUACUGGCUGUCGGAAGGAGGAGAUUCGGAAGAUAGGGAGUUGCAGAAUCGUACCACCACUUUUGGAGGGCAGUUCACUGGUGUAUGUAGACUGUGGCAGUAA
rnacentral:lncRNA from 1 species